UUCAGGUCCUUGACCCGGGCGUGUCUGGCCUGCACCCGGCCGGGUGAGCAUACUGUGAAAAAAAUGUGGGAGGGGUUUGAGAGCUAAUAGUUAAUAACGAAAAUAACAAUAAAGAAACAAAUAAAAAAAACCCUUAUUUCCCCCUUUAACCCUAACAUCACCCACCGUACUGUACAUCAUCGCCAUCCAUCAGCAACCUUCAUCCUUUCUCAACCGGCUAUCGUCUUCCACCACCGCCUCCGUCACCCCGUCGCACCCUCACCACUCCGAAUUACCACCGCCGCAUCGCCUCCACCAACAACCGCCGGUCUCGUCAGCGUCAAACACCCCGCCACCGGUUCCAACCAACAACAACGCCAUCUCCGUCGCUGCCUUCCACCACACCAUCAUUCACUGCAGCAUCAGGGUUGUGCAUAUCACGACCACUUUGAGGUAUGUUACUUGAUUUGUGAGAACACCAGGCAAUGCUUCGUCUCAUGUAUGCUCGUCAGCGUGAGAUGGGUCGCACCAUCGUCUCUCUCCGUGAUCACAGAGAUCGACUUAGAUGUCCGCCACCUUCGUAGAUGCCUUCCACAUAUUCCUCCGAGCCUCGAGGACGAUGCUAUAUCUUAAGCUUGGGGAGGUUAAGGUUAGAGAUGCAGAGUGAUCGCGAGUGACAAAGAUGGAUCUUUAAAAGGGUAGGAAUCGCGAAUGAUAAAAGAGAUUAGGACAUGUGAAUGUUCAAGUUAUAUGAUAAAAAAAUGAUUGUUGGUGGCUUGAAAGGAUGGAAUGGAAACAGUUGAUGAUGAUGUAAAAAUUAGAUGGAGUUUUCUUCAUCAUACGUGUGACAACCCUCAAAAUUCCAUGUAUUCCGUACAAUUUGUUAUUAAUAAUGAAAGUGCUUGACGACUGUGUGGAAU
rnacentral:lncRNA from 1 species